GACGAACGCUGGCGGCGUGCUUAACACAUGCAAGUCGAACGGUGAUGCUCCAGCUUGCUGGAGUGGAUCAGUGGCGAACGGGUGAGUAACACGUGAGCAACCUGCCCCAGACUCUGGAAUAAGCGCUGGAAACGGCGUCUAAUACUGGAUACGAAACUGGCCCGCAUGGGCAUGGUUUGGAAAGUUUUUCGGUUUGGGAUGGGCUCGCGGCCUAUCAGCUUGUUGGUGAGGUAAUGGCUCACCAAGGCGACGACGGGUAGCCGGCCUGAGAGGGCGACCGGCCACACUGGGACUGAGAUACGGCCCAGACUCCUACGGGAGGCAGCAGUGGGGAAUAUUGCACAAUGGGCGAAAGCCUGAUGCAGCGACGCCGCGUGAGGGAUGACGGCCUUCGGGUUGUAAACCUCUUUCAGCAGGGAAGAAGCGAAAGUGACGGUACCUGCAGAAGAAGCACCGGCUAACUACGUG
rnacentral:rRNA from 1 species